UUCGUCUCUUUUUAUCUAAUGUAAAUAUUAGUUUUCUUGGAAGAUAGCAAGAAGUUGCUGGUCUAGGCAAAAUCGAAAUUGAUUGUCAUAGUGACACAUAUUUUCAUUGCCAACUUCCUUGGGCCACAAAUUUUGUUAUUUAUUUUUUAUAAAAGGUUUUAUGGUACUUAUAAAAAAAGUUAAGUUAUUUUGUCAUAUAUUUCGAUUGGCAAUACACUUUGUGCGUGAUUGCUUAAAUACGGGUUUGACCUCUGCGGUCGCCCCUUUUCCCAGACCGCCGUCAUGAAGUGAAGAGUGCUUUAGUUCUUUUUGAAAUUCGUGUGAAUUUUACCCAUAUGGGGAUAUAAUUGACUAAAUGUGGUGAUAGUAAAUCAACUUUUUGGGCGUAAUGCUAUAAUUUGUUGUUUUGUUGAAUUUACUGGCCUUUAUGGCGAUUUAAAACCUAAUAAUUUUUCACGUGCCCUCGAACAUCGGCAAAAUAGCGGUUCUGAUUGGCAUUGGCAGGGGACAAUUUAAUUAGCAAAGCUACAUAACAUGGAUUUUGGACGGAUUUUUUUUGUACGGACCUGAUUUCUUCAUGCCACAUGGUGCUUCGUUUUGGGGUUAUGUACUCUACUGGCUCUAAUCUAGAAGGAGAUUUUAAGCAACUGUGAGCUAACGUCUAACCUAGACCACUACCAGAGCUUGGCGUAUUGUGAAGUGGAAGAGGUGAAGCUUGGAAGCCUGCAGUUUUUCUUUGACUGGGAAUUGGAUUUCUGGGAGAAUCUCGAAUCUGAAGUAGUCUGCUGUGUGUGGAGCUAGGUGACACAACAUAACAUUUUUUUUUAUUCACUUAUUUUAUUUUUAUUAUCACAACUUUUAUCUUUUGAGUUGAGAUACAUACAUAAGCUUAUUUAAAAUUUUAUUGACAUUAUUUAAUCGAUGCUAUUUUAUUAUUGAAUAUUACUGAUAUGAGUACAUAUAUAUGUGACAAGUGACUCCUGUGAGGUAAGACGCAGCCGGCUUCGUAGUACUACGAGUAUAUACUUGGGUUAUAUUAUUUAUUUUCAGACUACUCCUAAGAUGUCAAAUUUUCUCAGAUUAGCUAGUAAAUAUUAGAGUAAACUAAUAAAAGGGUAAUUUUAAGUGGGGAAGCUUCAACAGUUAGGGUUGUUAUUUUUUUUUUGCUUAGGUCAAUGUCCGUGGCGGGAUAUACCGGGCCAUGUAAAUUAUUAGUUUAAUUGAAUUGAAGCUUCAUUCCCCAAAAGGUUUGGGUGUAACAUAAUUUAUUUUAUUUUGACAACCACACUUUGAUUGUGUAUUUUUUGUGUGAUGUUGUGGUUCCUUAUUACCAACUUAAAUAAUUAUUCCUCUUAACGAUAAAUAACAUAACAUAAUUCUCUGUGAUAAUCAAGACUUAAAUAAAUUGUUAUUUUCUGUUGUUAA